rnacentral:rRNA from 1 species
CGCAUGGGGUGUCGGGAAAGAUUUCAUCGGUAUGGGAUGGGGUCGCGUCCUAUCAGGUAGUCGGCGGGGUAACGGCCCACCGAGCCUACGACGGGUAGCCGGCCUGAGAGGGCGACCGGCCACAUUGGGACUGAGAUACGGCCCAGACUCCUACGGGAGGCAGCAGUGGGGAAUAUUGCACAAUGGGCGCAAGCCUGAUGCAGCGACGCCGCGUGCGGGAUGACGGCCUUCGGGUUGUAAACCGCUUUUGAUCGGGAGCAAGCCUUCGGGUGAGUGUACCUUUCGAAUAAGCACCGGCUAACUACGUGCCAGCAGCCGCGGUAAUACGUAGGGUGCAAGCGUUAUCCGGAAUUAUUGGGCGUAAAGGGCUCGUAGGCGGUUCGUCGCGUCCGGUGUGAAAGUCCAUCGCUUAACGGUGGAUCUGCGCCGGGUACGGGCGGG